GAGGCAGCUACCAGAAGGGAGCACCAAGCAGAUGCAGCUCCCCUUCCCUCCCAUUCCACCAUCCACUGUCCCCAGCAAGAACCUGCGGGAGGGUGGCCCAAUGGGGAGAAAACUAAGGAUUCGGUGUUGGGACCACUCCUGCCCUGACCUGCCCUGUGACUCCGUCAUACUCUCCAAAGGCCAGACCCUCCUAGACCAGCUGGAACCACCAUCAAGAUGUCCCCAGCCAUGUCAGACUCUGGGGCCCCAGGCGGAGGGCAACCAGAUGUCUUCAGCUCCAAGUCUGGCCUCUCCUCCCAGCAAGCAGCCAGUGCUGCUGUG
rnacentral:lncRNA from 1 species